rnacentral:misc_RNA from 1 species
GCUGGGCUAGUGAUAAUCUCUUCUGUAUUCUAUCUAUGGUGGAAAAGGGAUUCACCCAAACACAUCAAAAUUCAAAGAGGACCACCUGGGAAAUGAUGAUACCAGAAGCAAGAUACACCCAAUGAGUAGCCAAUGAACUGUCAUCAGAUUGUAAUAUAUAUUAUUGUGGGUUUUGGCUUUCAAGAUUCAUUUUUCACUCUCAAUUAUGGUUUGUUUGCUGUGGGAAUCUAAUGUAUCCUAGCAUAAUGUGAAGGUUGGGAUCAUUGGUAUUGUGUCAAGUAUAAAGAAGACAUGCUAGAUUUGUAUAGACAAAUAAAAGUGGGUGUCAUAGUGGCCCUUUGCUUGAUUGUUUUAAUUGCUUGUUGGGUAAAAUUUUGUCACUAGUGAUAAGAAAAGCAUGGCAUGGAUGGGUGAUAGGCCUUGAAGGGAAACUUGAUUUGAAGAUUGAAUGCAGCUUCUUUAUCAUAGUUCACUGAUAAGAUAUGAUUUUUCUUCCUGGCCAAUGAAAA